rnacentral:misc_RNA from 1 species
UCAAACUUGGUCAUUUAGAGGAAGUAAAAGUCGUAACAAGGUCUCCGUUGGUGAACCAGCGGAGGGAUCAUUACAGAGUACUAUACUCCUAAACCCCUGUCUACCUUACCUUUACGUUGCUUCGACAGGCGGCCCCUUGGGAGGGGCCGUUGGGUGCCUGCCGGAGGUAUCUCCAAACUCUUGUUUUAUAAACCUAAAGCUUCUGAGUUAUUACUUUUAAAUAAGUCAAAACUUUCAACAACGGAUCUCUUGGUUCUGGCAUCGAUGAAGAACGCAGC